rnacentral:rRNA from 1 species
AGAGUUUGAUCAUGGCUCAGGAUGAACGCUAGCUACAGGCUUAACACAUGCAAGUCGAGGGGAAACGAUAUUGGAAGCUUGCUUCCGAUAGGCGUCGACCGGCGCACGGGUGAGUAACGCGUAUCCAACCUGCCCACCACUUGGGGAUAACCUUGCGAAAGUAAGACUAAUACCCAAUGACGUCUCUAGAAGACAUCUGAAAGAGAUUAAAGAUUUAUCGGUGAUGGAUGGGGAUGCGUCUGAUUAGCUUGUUGGCGGGGUAACGCCACCAAGGCUACGAUCAGUAGGGGUUCUGAGAGGAACGGUCCCCCANAUUGGAACUGAGACACGGUCCAAACUCCGUACGGAGGCA